rnacentral:rRNA from 1 species
CACGGGGGGAGCGUUGUCCGGAUUUAUUGGGCGUAAAGAGCUCGUAGGCGGUUUGGCAAGUCGGGUGUGAAAACUCCGGGCUCAACUCGGAGACGCCACUCGAUACUGCCAUGACUCGAGUCCGGUAGGGGAGUGCGGAAUUCCUGGUGUAGCGGUGAAAUGCGCAGAUAUCAGGAGGAACACCGGUGGCGAAGGCGGCACUCUGGGCCGGUACUGACGCUGAGGAGCGAAAGCGUGGGGAGCGAACAGG